GGCCCAUGCCGCAUUUGUUCAGAAAACGGAAGUGAGGUCGUUUUCUGUGUUUCUCUGACAUCGUGUUUCGGUCGGUCGUACUAGUCGUGAGGCUUAUUGAUAUAAAAAUGGUGAAGAUCUUUAUUGGAAACCUCCCUAAUGAGGUGGAAAAAGAUGAGAUCGAGGCACUGUUUACUCAGCAUGGCACUGUGACAGAAUGUGCAAAGUUCAAAAACUAUGCCUUCGUCCACAUGGACGACCGCAAGUCCGCCACAAAAGCCAUCCGCAGCCUGCACCUUUUCAAGCUACACGGGAGGCCAAUCAAUGUGGAGCCGAGCAGGGGGAAAAACCAGGGUCCGGUGAAACUUCAUGUGGCCAAUGUGGAGAAAGGCAAUGACGAUGAGUUGCGUGCGCUGUUUGAGGAGUACGGAACAGUCACAGAAUGCGCCAUUGUCAAGAACUUCGCCUUCGUUCACAUGUCCAACUCGGACGAGGCAAAGGAUGCCAUCAAAGGGUUGGACAACACCGACUUCCAAGGCAAACGGAUUCAUGUUCAGAUAUCAAAGAGUCGCCCCAGGGGGGAGGAAGAUGAUUACGGUCCGCCUCCCCCACCCGAUCGGGGUGGUUACUGGCCCCCACCCCGUGGCUUCCCAGGGGACAGGGAGCCACCCCAUUACAGAGGGCGCAUGCCUGGAGGGUUCCCUGGCCCCCCUCCACCGCCACCUCCCCCUAGGCGAAACCCUUAUGCCCCCGAGCGCCCUUACGAUCGCGAGAGGGAAGGCUAUGGCGUGGUGGAUUACUAUGAGAAGUACAGAGCUCGCCCUGCCCCUUAUGGCGCCAUCCCGGGUUAUGGAGAUGACAGGCGGGUCGGCACCAUACCCCCUCCGCCGCCCCCUUCAGUCAUGGUCCGGGAGCGCCUUGCAGCCACCACCCUAAAUUCGUACGAGCGCCGCCCCAUACCCCCUCCGUCCUCUUACUACCCCCGUGACCGGAGUCCCCUCAGAAGACCACCUCCCCCCGUUGCCCCUGCGGGGAAUGGCUACUCGUACGAGCGCUCCCGGCUCUCUCCGGUGUCCCGGCCUGCGAUGUACAACCUACCCCGGACCAGGGACCCCUACGCAGAUAGGGUUCCUCCUCCGCCCCCUGCCCGCUACACUUACUGAAGACACAUUGGUGGUUGGAUCAAGGUCGUUAGACCCAUGAUCUGCUGAUAGGUGUUGUGGGGACAGUGUAGGAGACUGCUGUGCCUAGGUAAGUAAGCCGGGGUGUCAUGUCCUACAACGAAGAUGUAGGAGGUAAUGUUAAUCUUUACAGAUUCAUGCUUUAUAGACUGAGAAUGGAUUGUGUGUACUUCACGUCCUGUUUUGAGGACACUUCCAACAUUUAGUGUCUUGAGGUUCUUAGUCUGUCCAACUCGUCCCCAUCUUAUUUCUCAUCUUCCUCUUUUAGGCCACUUUGAGCUGGAUGUACGGAAGUGGAGUUCUGCUUAAGGUAUUGGCAUAUAGAUUUUGCAGAAUCGGUAAACUGAUGUUGAUGUAAAAACAAACGUGGAACUAUUGGAAUGUUACAUCACUGCCCCUUAUUUUUGUACUGCAGCAAUGGAAUCGUUUCAUGUGGGGUGAUUUGACUUGAAUAUAGUGCAGGGUCGGCAGCUGGUCCUAAAUUCCUGGUGGUCCUGAAGCCCUGACCCGGCUUGUCAGGAUUGUAUGCUGUGAAUGGCUUCCACGGCCACCCGGUCAGAUGGAUCUGUAUGUAGGAGCUGCAGUAGCACGCCGUCAGUGAAGGCUUUGAGCGAGCCCAUCUCGAAGAAAGAUCACUGACUACCACAUGACAGUAGUUAUCUCCUGACCAAAUAGGUUUUCUCAAGUUCAUUUGGUUACAUUGACCUUUGACAUUUGACUCAUGUGUUUGUGUUAUCAUGCUGCAAUGCAAAGACAUUACAACUCAAAAGCACUGUAUUAAAAUAUUGCAUUUGCCUAACCAAUAAAGUAUUUUUAUUAAC